UUGGACCUACGGGGGGCAGCAGUGGGGGAUAUUGCACAAUGGGGGAAACCCUGAUGCAGCGACGCCGCGUGAAGGAAGAAGUAUCUCGGUAUGUAAACUUCUAUCAGCAGGGAAGAAAAUGACGGUACCUGACCAAGAAGCCCCGGCUAACUACGUGCCAGCAGCCGCGGUAAUACGUAGGGGGCAAGCGUUAUCCGGAUUUACUGGGUGUAAAGGGAGCGUAGGCGGCGAAGCAAGUCAGAAGUGAAAGCCCGGGGCUCAACUCGGGAACUGCUUUUGAAACUGCGUUGCUAGAUUGCGGGAGG
rnacentral:rRNA from 1 species